rnacentral:lncRNA from 1 species
AAUAUGGAGAACCCUCAACAAGCAAAUAUUAUGCAGAACAGUUCAGCUUUCCAGGACUUCUCUGGCAGACAGGGUCUGGCUGUUCCUUCAGAAAACUCACAGGAACUAGCAGGGGCACAUGCUUCUUCCUUGCAGAAUGAAGUCGGUUUAGAUCCUACAGAAGAAAGAAUAUUGUUUGGUUCAGAGGAUGAGAAUGAAGUUGGCUUAGAUCCUAACGAAGAAAGAAUAUUGUUUGGUUCAGAGGAUAAUAUAUGGGCAGCCUUUGGCAAGAGCCCUGAUAGGAAUGGGGAAGGUGGUAAUUCAUUUGAUGGUGCAGGA